UCAGUCGGUCGGGCAGCCGCGCCUGUCAUGUGCCGAAAGGCGGCAGGUGAGGAAAGUCCGGGCUCCAAGGAAACACGAUGCCGGGUAACGCCCGGCGGGGGCGACCCCAGGGAAAGUGCCACAGAAAGCAAACCGCCCCGUCUUCCGUACCGUUUCGGGUAAACGGCA
rnacentral:RNase_P_RNA from 1 species